rnacentral:tRNA from 1 species
GCCGGGGUGGCUCAGUCGGUUAAGUGUCUGACUUCAGCUCAGGUCAUGAUGUCACAGUUCGUGGGUUCGAGCCCCACAUCGGGCU